GGGGGGGGGGGGGGGGGGGGGGGGGGGGGGGGGGGGGGGGGGGGGGGGGGGGGGGGGGGGGGGGGGGGGGGGGGGGGGGGGGGGGGGGGGGGCGGGGGCGGGGGGCGGCUAUCGGCCGGGCCCGGCCCUGCCCUGCCCGGCCCUGCCCUGCCCUGCCCUGUCCGGCUUCGGGGUGCGGGGACAGCGGCAGCUGGGGCGGGUAGGUGUCCCCGGGUUGUCCUGCCAGGUGGUGGGUGUUUCCAGCGGCAUCCACACGGCGGGACAGCUGGCGAUGUCCCACGCAGCGAUGUUCUGCAUCAGGAUGUCCUGCACAGCAGGAACCGUGUCCCACGCUGCAGGACUCCCACAGAAAAAAUAAAGGAAGCUGUACUUGCAGGUGCACAAGAAAAGCAAGGUGGAUUCCCAAGCAACUUCGUAGUAACAGGAGGUUUGGAUUCUGGUUUUCAGCUCACUUCAGUGCUAAGAGGUUUUGAGGAUUAAUGGAACUUGAUAAUUUUAGCCAAAAGUCAAAUCCCAAAAUUUUGAGAACAAUACUCCUGCAGGGGUCACUCACGAGGGAACACGAUGAGUACCUGGCUGUAUUUGAAGAAUCAGUGAUGUGUUUUUAAACUCUUGAUCCUG
rnacentral:lncRNA from 12 species